AUCCGUAGGGUGCGAGCGUUGUCCGGAAUUACUGGGCGUAAAGAGCUCGUAGGUGGUUUGUCGCGUCGUCUGUGAAAUUCCGGGGCUUAACUCCGGGCGUGCAGGCGAUACGGGCAUAACUUGAGUACUGUAGGGGAGACUGGAAUUCCUGGUGUAGCGGUGAAAUGCGCAGAUAUCAGGAGGAACACCGGUGGCGAAGGCGGGUCUCUGGGCAGUAACUGACGCUGAGGAGCGAAAGCAUGGGUAGCGAACAGGAUUAGAUACCCUGGUAGUCCAUGCCGUAAACGGUGGGCGCUAGGUGUAGGGGUCUUCCACGACUUCUGUGCCGUAGCUAACGCAUUAAGCGCCCCGCCUGGGGAGUACGGCCGCAAGGCUAAAACUCAAAGGAAUUGACGGGG
rnacentral:rRNA from 1 species